rnacentral:rRNA from 1 species
GACGAACGCUGGCGGCGUGCUUAACACAUGCAAGUCGAACGAAGAGCGAUGGAAGCUUGCUUCUAUCAAUCUUAGUGGCGAACGGGUGAGUAACGCGUAAUCAACCUGCCCUUCAGAGGGGGACAACAGUUGGAAACGACUGCUAAUACCGCAUACGAUCUGACCUCGGCAUCGAGGAUAGAUGAAAGGUGGCCUCUAUUUAUAAGCUAUCACUGAAGGAGGGGAUUGCGUCUGAUUAGCUAGUUGGAGGGGUAACGGCCCACCAAGGCGAUGAUCAGUAGCCGGUCUGAGAGGAUGAACGGCCACAUUGGGACUGAGACACGGCCCAGACUCCUACGGGAGGCAGCAGUGGGGAAUCGUCCGCAAUGGACGAAAGUCUGACGGAGCAACGCCGCGUGAGUGAUGACGGCCUUCGGGUUGUAAAGCUCUGUUAAUCGGGACGAAAGGCCUUCUUGCGAAUAGUUAGAAGGAUGACGGUACC